AACACAAUAGCUUAAUGUAAAGCUCUCUGCUCAUAACGGAGGAUGGAAGUUCAAUUCUUCCUUGUUUUA